ensembl:lncRNA
CCUUGGAAAAAAAAACACACACAUUGUGAAAUUGAGCCUGACAUCAGUCUGAUAGCAAAUAUUGAGCCCUGAGAACUCAAAUUUCUGGCAGGUACUGUCAAGAUCCACUUUUAUCCCUGUUGAUGAAACUGAAGUUCUCUGAGAGGUUUAGUUCAGGCUCACACAGCCGUGAUGGCAUCAUUGGGAUUUGAACUCACAUGUGAAGGACUCCAAACUUGAACUGUCUUUUAAGCUUGUUAUUGAAGGUGAUCAAACCCGUGUCAGUAGAGCAAGGACUACAGUGAGAAGCCUUACACCUGUGGCUUUGCCCCUGGGGCAGGUCUUUCUGAAGGAUUCUUUCCCAGAAGUAAGAGUGUGUGAGCUCCAAACUUCAAAGCCAGGACCCUGUGCUCGGAGAAGGUGGAAGUUGGAACACUGGCCUGUCUCAGAAGGAAUGGCCCUCUGUGCCCAUUGGCUUUUCCCAUAAGGCAGGUAGGCAGAGCAGCGUGGGGUUCAGAGCCCGUGCCCAGGCAGAGCUGUUCAAUGGGGAUGAGGACUUCCUCAAACCACAGCCUUUUCAGAAUUUUGAAGGCACAGUUUGUUAAUGUGGGGUGUUGGUUCAAUCCAUAUGUAUUUGUAGAGAACUCUACUUUGUCAUUUCUGUUCCUAGAAUAAAGCCAGUCUGGGUUCUGUUCCACUGCUUAAG